UACGUAGGGAGCGAGCGUUGUCCGGAUUUAUUGGGCGUAAAGAGCGUGUAGGCGGUUUGGUAGGUCCGCUGUGAAAACUCGAGGCUCAACCUCGAGACGCCGGUGGAAACCAUCAGACUAGAGUCCGGAAGAGGAGAGUGGAAUUCCUGGUGUAGCGGUGAAAUGCGCAGAUAUCAGGAAGAACACCCGUGGCUAAGGCGGCUCUCUAGUACGGUACUGACGCUGAGACGCGAAAGCGUGGGGAGCGAACAGG
rnacentral:rRNA from 1 species